ACAGAUGAAGGCGACUAUCAGGUCAAACUACGCAACCUGAUUCGUUUUCUUGAAGAUGGCGAUAAAGCCAAAGUCACACUACGUUUUCGUGGUCGUGAAAUGGCACACCAACAAAUCGGUAUGGAAAUGCUUAAUCGCAUCCGUGAAGAUUUGGAUGAACUGGCUUCUGUUGAAUCUUUCCCUAAUAAGAUUGAAGGUCGUCAGAUGAUCAUGGUGCUAGCGCCGAAGAAGAAAUAGUUAGGCAAUUCAAGUAAUAGCGUCAGUCUUUAUUGACUGACUGCUAUUCGCCUUAUUAUUUUAUGUUAUUAACAAUGCGAAGUGGAUUAUAGAAAUGCCAA
rnacentral:misc_RNA from 1 species